UGUAGAAAGAAUAUUUCACAAGACCUCCUCAAGGGUCUAUAUGAUGACCCUACCUACCAAGGACACCACAUUUAAAUUUGGUAGAAGGAAAGUAAAAUUCAGUAAAAGCAGUAGGCAGACACUGUAGAUUAUGAUUUAAGUACAGUGCCAAAAACCUACAAAAGACUAUAAUGUGUCUUGCUUUUUAUUGUUUUUAAAUAAUUUGCACUGGAAACACAUCUCCCAACGAUCUCUCUCCAGCUCAAGGGAAGUCAGUAGCAAUAAUGAAUGCAGUAAAACUGACUGUUUUGUUACUGAUCCCGCCUGCUGCAUUUCUCUUCUACCUGGCGCUGAGAUCUAGGAAAAUGAACAAUCCAACCUCCGCUGCUGAGCUAAGUGACAAAGUACAAAGUGAACAGCUGUAUGAAAGCAUUGCAUUCGUGGCCAUGAGUCCUGCUGCACAGGAAGCACCUGCAGAGGAGCAAGAAUACACUGUGUAAUAUGAGCUUGGAUUUUAGAUAUAUGUGCAGGGCGCUUUGCAGAGGACAAAUAAAUGUCUGUCUUGUUCAUUUAGAUACAAGCUGGAAAUGCAUGAUUUGAGCACCAUUUAGGCAUCUGUAAACUCAUGUAUGUGAUGCAGCCAAAUCAGGAUGUCACAAUCAUUUACUCGUAUCCUUUGUGAUCUGCUUCCUGUGGGGGGGGGGUUGCAAGGCUGUUAUCUACAGAUCCGUUCGUGAGGGCCUAAUGCACGUUUUGAAUGCUGAUUGUGGCUAAUAUAUUUUUCUUGUUAUAUUUUAUAUGUUUUAAUGGCAUAUUAUAAUAACAUUUACAAUAAUAUUUUUGUAUACUGGGGAUAACUUUGUACAUGACACUUUGCUUCCUUCUUCCCCUGCACAUUUCACAGUGAUGUUUGUGCAAAAGUGUGAAAUUAAAUUACAACAGACUGAUUCCUCUUGCCUAUUUCAUCACUUUCUUGUAAAUGUACUUUAAUGUGAAAGGAAAUGCAUUUAAAUGUUUUUAGUAGGUUUUUGUUGCUUUCAUUUCAAUCUACAAAUGUAACUUUAUAUAGGCUAUGUUAUGUUUACUGUGUUUUCUUUUAUUCUUCAAUGUUAGAGAUAUAAACACAUGGCAGUAUUUGUUUUGUAUGUGAUUUGUUUGUUUUUUCGGGAAAUAACUUGGGAGACACUUACUUCUCUCACAGACUACAUCCUGCAGGAGUGAUGAGUCUAUUCAACAGGCAAGAUGGAACAAUUUACAUGGAUUGCUUAUCAACAUUUGUGGAGCCAAAAACAAAUGUGAUUAAUGGAACAUAAUACGUCAGACAAAGUGAGGGGGACUUUCAAUGUGCCACCUGACGACUAGCUCAAAGAGAUUUCCAUUCAGUUAAUUUGUCACAAUUUCAGUCACUAAAUGCAGAGCCGUUGACGGCUCUGACUUAAUGUAGGCUAAUCCUUGGCUAAUUAAUUGUAUUUAUUG